CUGAGGAAACCAUAGGUGCAGAGUGCAGACAGUCAUGAAAUGACUUCUAACACGAACUAGAGCGCUUCGGGUAGUCACGCUGAUAUUGUGCAGUCUGCCCGGCACCUGCUAAGCUUGAUUACAUCAUCUGGGACACAACUGGGCACAUCCAGUGAUGGCACAAAUCAAAACACAAGAGAACAGAGACAUGGAGGUCCCAGUGGCAGCGCAGCCCAGCCCUCACUCCAAAUGGAAAUGACCAGGGUACAUGCUGAUCGGGGGUGGAAAAUGUAGACGUGGCAUGCCUCAUGUUCACAGUCCGUGGCGCUGGAAGGAGCAGUUUCAUAUCCGGGAAGAGUGUUCACAACCAACGGAUUGAGCGGCUGUGGAGAGACCUGUGGGCAGCUGUAACAAACAUCUACUAUGAUGUUCUCCACUACCUUGAGGAAGAGGGCUUCCUCAGCAUUGCUAACGCUACACACCUCUUCACUAUGAUAUCAGUUAUUUUCUCAUCAUUUGUACCAAAGUGCUCCACACUCUCUGUAAAGCAUGCAUUUGUUACUUUGAAUAUUACAGAUAACACAAAAGUAUCUACCUAGCAAAAAGCCAUGAUAAAAAUAUAUCAUAGGUUCCUGUCUACUCAAAGCCAUUUGUAGUGUAAACAUCACUAUUGUGAAAUGCAUUCUAUGUCCGUUGUUGUUUACUGUAUUGAAAACCAUUGCAUUUUCCACAAGUCACUUUACAUGUUUGCCAUCUCGUCGUCCUGUAGAGUUAGUCUGAGAUGUUUUCCUCAUGUGGAUGUAAAUCUCAUGGUUUUUACAUGUCACUCUAAUACCUCACUUAAAUAAUCCUUCCUUGUUCUUAAAUGACCCUGGUCGGCUAUUUUAUAGUCAUUUUUAUCCUGACAAGAUCAGACCUAUAACUCAUCAGUAAACUCUCUUUAGACAACUGUUUCUGGAAAUGUGUGCCUUCUGCUAGAGCUGCUGCUGCUGCUGCUCUCUGCAGCAUGUGGUCACAUGUUUUCCGUUCAUAGUGUCAUUUUGAGGACUGUUAAUGAAUGAUGAUAAUGAAUGAAGGGGUUUUCUUUAAAAAAAUAAAAAUGCAAUGGA